UACGUAGGGUGCAAGCGUUGUCCGGAAUUAUUGGGCGUAAAGAGCUCGUAGGCGGUCUGUCGCGUCUGCUGUGAAAACUCAGGGCUUAACCCUGAGCUUGCAGUGGGUACGGGCAGACUAGAGUGCGGUAGGGGAGACUGGAAUUCCUGGUGUAGCGGUGAAAUGCGCAGAGUAUCAGGAGGAACACCGGUGGCGAAGGCGGGUCUCUGGGCCGUAACUGACGC
rnacentral:rRNA from 1 species